UUGCUUGUCUCAAAGAUUAAGCCAUGCAUGUCUAAGUAUAAGCAAUUAUACAGCGAAACUGCGAAUGGCUCAUUAAAUCAGUUAUCGUUUAUUUGAUAGUACCUUACUACAUGGAUAACCGUGGUAAUUCUAGAGCUAAUACAUGCUAAAAACCCCGACUUCGGAAGGGGUGUAUUUAUUAGAUUAAAAACCAAUGCCCUUCGGGGCUCACUGGUGAUUCAUGAUAACUUCUCGAAUCGCAUGGCCUUGUGCUGGCGAUGGUUCAUUCAAAUUUCUGCCCUAUCAACUUUCGACGGCUGGGUCUUGGCCAGCCGUGGUGACAACGGGUAACGGAGGGUUAGGGCUCGACCCCGGAGAAAACGCCUGAGAAACGGCGUUUACAUCCAAGGAAGGCAGCAGGCGCGCAAAUUACCCAAUGCCGACACGGCGAGGUAGUGACGAGAAAUACUGAUACAGGGCUCUUUUGGGUCUUGUAAUUGGAAUGAGUACAAUUUAAAUCUCUUAACGAGGAACAAUUGGAGGGCAAGUCUGGUGCCAGCAGCCGCGGUAAUUCCAGCUCCAAUAGCGUAUAUUAAAGUUGUUGCAGUUAAAAAGCUCGUAGUUGAACCUUGGGCCUGGCUGGCCGGUCCGCCUCACCGCGUGCACUGGUCCGGCCGGGCCUUUCCCUCUGGGGAACCCCAUGCCCUUCACUGGGCGUGGCGGGGAACCAGGACUUUUACUUUGAAAAAAUUAGAGUGUUCAAAGCAGGCCUAUGCUCGAAUACAUUAGCAUGGAAUAAUAGAAUAGGACGUGUGGUUCUAUUUUGUUGGUUUCUAGGACCGCCGUAAUGAUUAAUAGGGACAGUCGGGGGCGUCAGUAUUCAAUUGUCAGAGGUGAAAUUCUUGGAUUUAUUGAAGACUAACUACUGCGAAAGCAUUCGUCAAGGAUGUUUUCAUUAAUCAGGAACGAAAGUUAGGGGAUCGAAAACGAUCAGAUACCGUUGUAGUCUUAACCAUAAACUAUGCCGACUAGGGAUCGGGCGGUGUUAUUUUUUGACCCGCUCGGCACCUUACACGAAAGUAUAAGUUUCUGGGUUCUGGGGGGAGUGAUGUGCGCAAGGCUGAAA
rnacentral:rRNA from 1 species